GGGGCAUUGGCGCAGCUGGGAGCGCGCUACAUUCGCAUUGUAGAGGUCGUGGGUUCGAAUCCCAUAUGCUCCA
rnacentral:tRNA from 1 species